rnacentral:lncRNA from 1 species
AACUGCAGCGAGAGAAGAGGCUGGCAGCAUGGGUGGCAGGAGGCUUGGCAGCCUCACAGGAUGCCUGCAAAUACCUUUCACUUAUGCAGUUUGGCAGUGCAGUGGUGCAUGGAGACAGCGUCUUGGGCCUGGCACCCACAGCCACUUAGGAAGUUGGAGUCCUGGAGAGGAGAACACAGAACGUGGACAACUAGCUGUCAAAUUGCAGUAAAAGUUGGUUCAGGAAAAGUGGAAGCUACCCAGAUGUCUACCAAUUGAGAUGAACCAUCCAAUCUCCUGCCUCGAGUAUUGAAGCCUGGCUACUGUGACUGUGGGGAAGGGAUUAAUGGUCUCAGCAUUCAAAGCUUCUAUUCUGGAAUAGAACAGCUAGCAUACUACCAAGACUUUUCAAGGAGCAAGAAUGGAGCUCCCUGGAGAACUGACUGAACAUGGCUUCAGAGGCAGUAUCCAUGUCACAUUUCAAAGGCCAGAUCUUUCCCAGGGCUUAAGCUGUUCCUUGGAUACUUUUGCUGAUGGUUUACACAUCUUCUUCCCACAUUAUAUUGUAACUUUCUU